rnacentral:rRNA from 1 species
UUGAUCCUGGCUCAGAAUCAACGCUGGCGGCGUGCCUAACACAUGCAAGUCGAACGAGAAAGUGGAGCAAUCCAUGAGUAAAGUGGCGACCGGGUGAGUUACACGUGACUAACCUACCUUCGAGUGGGGGAUAACCUCGGGAAACCGGGUCUAAUACCGCAUAAUGCCUUCGGGUUAAAGGAGCAAUUCGCUUGAAGAGUGGGUCGCGGCUGAUUAGCUAGUUGGCGGGGUAACGGCCCACCAAGGCGAUGAUCGGUAGCCGGCCUGAGAGGGCGCACGGCCACACUGGAACUGAAACAUGGUCCAGACUCCUACGGGAGGCAGCAGUGGGGAAUUUUGCGCAAUGGGGUAAACCCUGACGCAGCAACGCCGCGUGGAGGAUGAAGUCCCUUGGGACGUUAACUCCUUUCGACCGGGACGAUAAUGACGGUACCGGUGGAAGAAGCCCCUGCUAACUUCGUGCCAGCAGCCGCGGUAAUU